UAGCUAAGCUAAUGGUAGAAAAUAAGAGUUCAAGAAACAAAUUUGUGAAAGUGGAUCAAGGCAAAGCAGAACAGGCCCCGAUCUGGACAAUCAGGCCCAUUCGUUGGGGGAUGCAUGGGCAAGGCAGGGUGCAGUAUCGUGGAUGAAGGUCAUUGGGCCUAAGGCCCAAACCUGGUUCCCUAAGGCCAAUACAUUGGUUCGAAACGGCUAACCAAGCUUCUUCUCCUUCAACGAAUCGCGGCGACGAUGUCGUAAGGAAAGAGGAAGGUCUCGCCGGACCUGGCUUCGCCGACAUUACCACCGGCGUUUACUCGUAUCGAGUCAUAUUCAUCUAGCUAAAACUCGAUUCAAAUCGAGUCGGAAACAGAAACGUAUUGCACGGUGGAAACUCACGGCACAACAUCGGAAUCCGAUUCAAACUACAACAGGCAAAAUCGAUCGGUGUGAAGCGAAUAAGGGAACCUACCGGCGUCACAAAACUCCGUGGAGGAUUCGGAACUCACAAAACUCCAAUUCUCCGCUCUUCUUCUCCCGUUUGGUUGCAUGUUGCUUCCGUCGCGACUGCUCUUCGUGGAUGUGUAUCCCGUGGAGAUUAUGGUUUGGCUUUGUGAAUUCUCGGCAGUUCGAUUCACACAGCAGCUACAAGAAUUGCCACAGUGCGGUGCUUCGAUGCGGAUUCCGGUGAGGCUUUGUUGGGCGGUGGUCGUUGCGGUUUGUGUGCGGUAGAAACGGUUAUGGAAAUUUGGUUGAGCUUUGGUGGAGUUCAAGGAGAAAGAAAAAGAAUGGAAGAGUUUAUUAGAAAUUGGAGAGAGGGAAGAAGAUUCGAGAGCCAAAAAUCGCCGUGAAUCAGAUUUGGUUUGCUCGCGUUUGGAGAUGUGUCAUUUUGCAGCUGUUCGUGAAGCUAGUUUACAAUGUCGUUUUGUCAAUGCGCUAUGCAGCUUGUGGCUUUAAGUUUCGCUUUAGGAUUGUCGUUCCAUUUUGGCUUGGUGGUAGCUAUUGUUGAUGUCGUUUGCAGCUUGUUGAAGUUAGUUUUGGUUGAGGCUUUAGUAGCAGUGUAUGUUUUGUGCAGCAGCUUUGGUUAAGGUUGAGAAAUUUUUUGAAGAGAAAUGGUUCUGGAUAUGUGAACUUUUUGGAAUGGCUUAUUGCCGCUUGUGCACUUUCGCCGUUUAUGCCUUACUUCUUGGUGGCCUUCUUUUCCAAUUGCAUUUCCAAUUUCAACAACACAUUCUGCCUGAUGUAUUCACUUUCUUUUAAUUGGCUUAAUAAAUUUGGAUAAUGGCCUGGCUUUGUGGUAA